rnacentral:lncRNA from 1 species
AGCAUGGAGCACAUAGCCAGCAUCGUCACAAAGCUGAAAGAUGCCAGGAAGGCUGUGGGUUAGACAAUCUGGGAUCUCAGGGCUGGGGUUGAUGUAAUUAGUAAAGUGCUUGCCUGCAAAUCCCUAGACUUGGUAGCCAGCCAGCCGUGCCUAAUAGGUGGACUCCAGAGCAAUGAGAGAUCCUGUCACAAAAUAUAAGAUGCCAUCCGCACUGUUAUGAAAGGCAUUUAAGUUUGAAAGAGUGCAAUAAGAUGUCUCUGUGCUUGUUCUCCCUGGAGUUCCCUGUCUCCUGUGAAGUUCUUCUCGCAGGGCCAUCAGACAUUUUCCAUCCACUUCGGACUGAGAUCAUUAAAGACACUUCAGCAAAAUUUUCUUUCACACAAAAGGAAGAGAACAAAUAUCCUCUUCAAGCCUGAAGAUUUAAAAACCAUAUUGUCUUUCAUCAGCAAGGCUCACAAGAAAGUUAUGAGGCUGUUUCAUGCUUGAAAGGGGCUCGAUGUUUUCACAGCAUCUCUAAGUAUCAAUUAGAUGAUACUCUGUGGAGCAGGGUUACCUAAAAACUCCAAUACUGACCGAAUGGCCAUCCUUGCCUUGUCCCUGGCAGUGACAAGAAUGCUUCUAGGGAGUCUUUCUAUCUAUAUAUACUCAUCACCUUAUGGAAAU